UAGGGAAUCUUCCGCAAUGGGCGAAAGCCUGACGGAGCAACGCCGCGUGAGUGAUGAAGGUCUUCGGAUCGUAAAACUCUGUUAUUAGGGAAGAACAAAUGUGUAAGUAACUAUGCACGUCUUGACGGUACCUAAUCAGAAAGCCACGGCUAACUACGUGCCAGCAGCCGCGGUAAUACGUAGGUGGCAAGCGUUAUCCGGAAUUAUUGGGCGUAAAGCGCGCGUAGGCGGUUUUUUAAGUCUGAUGUGAAAGCCCACGGCUCAACCGGGGAGGGUCAUUGGAAACUGAAUAACUUGAGUGCAGAGGAGGAAAGUGGAAUUCCAUGUGUGGCGGUGAAAUGCUCGGAGAUAUGGAGGACCACCAGUGGCGAAGGCGACUUUCUGGUCUGUAACUGACGCUGAUGUGCGAAAGCGUGGGGAUCAAACAGG
rnacentral:rRNA from 1 species